UACGUAGGGUGCGAGCGUUGUCCGGAAUUAUUGGGCGUAAAGAGCUCGUAGGCGGUCUGUCACGUCGGAUGUGAAAGCCCGGGGCUUAACCCCGGUCUGCAUUCGAUACGGGCAGACUAGAGUGUGGUAGGGGAGAUCGGAAUUCCUGGUGUAGCGGUGAAAUGCGCAGAUAUCAGGAGGAACACCGGUGGCGAAGGCGGAUCUCUGGGCCAUUACUGACGCUGAGGAGCGAAAGCGUGGGGAGCGAACGG
rnacentral:rRNA from 1 species